rnacentral:tRNA from 1 species
GGAGAGAUGGCUGAGUGGCUGAAAGCGACUGAUUCCUAAUCAGUUAUACAUUUAUUUGUAUCGAGGGUUCGAAUCCCUCUCUCUCUG